GACGUGCCUUGUAGCUACCAAAAGUUCUCUUCGAGUCUGAUAUAAUUCGGAAGGACAGUCCAUGAACAAUUGCAAGGUACAUAUUGGGAUCGAGCUUUCAAACUGUUUAAGAGCAGCACCAAAACUUCUCAAUAAAUAGGCGAGAAAAGAGAAUGAUUUAAUUUGCGCAGAAAUAAGGUCAUUGUAAAGAUGAUUUCGACGCAAAGAAGGGACUACACCAAUAAAAACCUCUUUUUGAGAUUCUGCAAGUCGACGAGCUUCGGCUUGAGGUGGAGGACGAAGUGAGAUAAAUUGAAGUACAAGCGGAGCAAGUAAAGGAAGCAUUUUCGGAAUAAGAUCUUUGUAUGUUUGAAAUAGGAGAAAGACGAUAAUGGGAAAUUCAGCAGUGACCUUGAAACUCGAAGAAGCUUUUGGGAUCAUUUUUGGACCUGCAUGUUCCAUUCCAAUUUCAGCAGGAGAUGCAGAAGAUGCAGCAGACAUGGGAUGAGAGGAUGGAGUAUUCGGAGCUGAUCUAGGUGGGAAAGCUUCUGAAACAACUGUGGUCAUGGAUUUGUAGUUUUCAACGACAAUGGAUAAAAAUUCCUGAACAUGUCCCUUAGCAAGGCUACUGUGGUCCUUAAAAAGAAGGACAACAAGCUUCAAUGCCAACACUGCCAUCUCUUCAUUAUCAUUAACGACUAUACGAAGAAGCACGGCAAAAGUCCGAUUAACGAAUGCUUCAAAACCUUUAUAGGAUCCAGAUUUCUUGAGCAAUUCAAGCAAUGCAAUGCGUAAACGAUGUGUAGCUGCUAACGAUGAAAAUACAGGACGUUCCUUUUCAAGCAAAGACAACGUGUCCUCCAAAAGAGGAAUGAAAGUUUCAAAAUUCGUCUUUUCAGUUACCAACACAUCAUCCAGUGCAUCUCGAAUUUCAAUUGCUGUGUUUGCCUUUUGCUUCGAGUCUAAUCCAACAUCACAAAGCCGAUUAUGCCAAUGUUCGCAUUGUGAUACAUCCAUCAGAUGCUUGGAUCUCUGCGCAAGCUCUUUUUUAAAUUCCAAUUGCACUCGGAUACGUUUUCCUAAGUAUUUAACAAUUACUAUUGGAAUGUUGUGGGAUAGAGCAAGCUGCAUUUCUUUCCUCUAAAUCACUUUAUGAAUUUUACAUGUUUUCGCUAUUUUAAUUAACGGCCUUAUUAUUUUGUGCGGUAGAAGUUGCUAAAAUGAUGAACGAGAUAAAAAUAGCGAGUGAUACCACAAAAGUUCGUUUAGCCUCAGCUGCAUAAUUUGUCGUAAACAAACCAUUCAUUCAUUAAUCUGUUCAUUACCAUUUUUAGGCUACCUUUUAGUCAGUGAUCUUUAAUAUAUCUUACCGAUUAG